CCCGCUGAACUUAAGCAUAUCAAUAAGCGGAGGAAAAGAAACCAACAGGGAUUGCCUUAGUAACGGCGAGUGAAGCGGCAAAAGCUCAAAUUUGAAAUCUGGCCUUUAGGCCCGAAUUGUAAUUUGUAGAGGAAUAUUCGGCAAUGUCAUUGGUAUAAGUUUCCUGGAACGGAACGUCUUGGAGGGUGAGAACCCCGUAUAUUACUGAAUGACAACGCUAUGUGAAUAUCCUUCGAAGAGUCGAGUUGUUUGGGAAUGCAGCUCAAAAUGGGUGGUAAAUUCCAUCUAAAGCUAAAUAUUGGCCAGAGACCGAUAGCGCACAAGUAGAGUGAUCGAAAGAUGAAAAGCACUUUGGAAAGAGAGUGAAACAGUACGUGAAAUUGUUGAAAGGGAAGCGCUUGCAACCAGACUUGAUUGUAGACAUUCCGCUUGUCAUUUGACAAGUUCACUUGUUUAUAAACAGGCCAACAUCGGUUUUUGACGGUUGGAUAAAGGUUUGAGGAAUGUGACACUCUUCGGGGUGAGUUAUAGCCUCUUACACAAUACAGCCAGUUAGGACCGAGGACCGCGUUCGCUUGGAUGUUGGCGUAAUGGUUGUCAGCGGCCCGUCUUGAAACACGG
rnacentral:rRNA from 1 species